GCUUAACACAUGCAAGUCGAACGGAACUCUCUGGAUCAAGGCUUCGGCCAAGUGAAUUUGAGUUUAGUGGCGGACUGGUGAGUAACGCGUGAGGAACCUGCCUUUCAGAGGGGGACAACAGUUGGAAACGACUGCUAAUACCGCAUGAUACAUUCGGGCGGCAUCGCUUGAAUGUCAAAGAUUUUAUCGCUGAAAGAUGGCCUCGCGUCCCAUUAGAUAGUUGGCGGGGUAACGGCCCACCAAGUCGACGAUGGGUAGCCGGACUGAGAGGUUGACCGGCCACAUUGGGACUGAGAUACGGCCCAGACUCCUACGGGAGGCAGCAGUGGGGAAUAUUGGGCAAUGGACGCAAGUCUGACCCAGCAACGCCGCGUGAAGGAAGAAGGCUUUCGGGUUGUAAACUUCUUUUGUCAGGGAAGAGUAGAAGACGGUACCUGACGAAUAAGCCACGGCUAACUACGUG
rnacentral:rRNA from 1 species